rnacentral:rRNA from 1 species
UACGUAGGGGUGCAAGCGUUGUCCGGAAUUAUGGCGUAAAGGAGCAUGCAGGCGGUCGGACGCGUUUCGGGUGACAGCGGGUGGCUUAACUACCCGAGUGGUCGAAAGACGGUUUGACUUGAGGACGCGAGAGGGACACGGAAUUCCGGGUGGAGUGGUGAAAUGCGUAGAGAUCCGGAGGAACACCGAAGGCGAAGGCAGUGUCCUGGCGCGUAACUGACGCUGAGGUGCGAAAGCCAGGGGAGCGAACGGG